GUUCAGGCUGUUGGGGCUGCGCCCCGACGGCGGCGGCUUGGGCGGCUCGCCGGGCUUGGGCGGCAUCGCUGCUUUGCGGCCGCGCAGGGCUAUGCGUGCUCGUUCCUGUCUGUCUCCCGGACAGUGACCACGUGGAAAGAAGAUACAUGGCAGAUGUGGGCUAGAUGUACAUAUGCAUUUCACUGGAAAUGCUCGAUUCAUUGUCUAAAUAUCACAUCUGACAAACGGAGCUGUCGUGAAUGUUCAGGUGCUUGGGUCAGCACUCUUGAAGGUUAGGAGCUUGCUACGGUUUGAAUGGUUGCUCGGUGUAGGGAGUUUUGCCAACAGCUCAGCUUAUAUAUAACAGUUGGUCGGAGCUAAAGAAGAAAGAAACAAGGGCUUCUCGCUUCUCACUAAGCUAGGUAGGGUUUUAAUGUUUUACUGGCUCAUUUGUGUGGAAAGAAAAUGCUUGCUAGAGAUGUGGGUAAAUGACAAUCUUGUAUCUCGUUCAACAUGUACAUAUGCAUUUGACACAUAAAUGUUUGAUUCCUUGUACAA